rnacentral:lncRNA from 10 species
GUGACAUCUCAGAGGAGGUUGAAUUUCACAAGGAUCUUAAAAGAUAAACAAGAGUUUGUCAAAGCAAAAAGGAAAUGAAGAGUUGCAGCAGUUACUGUGGAGUUACUACCCAUAUCUGUUGGACUCACCAUCCAGGACAUUUCACAGCUGCCUACUGCAUGCACGUAUGACUCUCAGCCUGAGGUUUGCUUUCUAAAGUGAGCUGGGCAUGCAGCAAGGGCUGAAGAGAUAAAGCUCUGGGAGGAGCCCUCAGCCAGUGGUGGGUAGGAGUUGGAGGAUAAAUGCCCUAAUUUCUUUGCCCCUCAAGUGGAACAACUUAGAGUGUUUCCUGAGAUCACCUCCCAAACAAUUGCAUCUGGAAUCCUUCACUCAUGUCUACUUCUGGGAGAAGCAUCUAAGACAGUCAUGGUCCAUAAAACAGCAGCAACAUGAACAAAGACACAGGGCUCAACUGUACCAGGCAAAUGAAGGGAGAUGGAGAGAUUGAAGCAAGAGCUAAAACUAUCCACCAGACUGCAGUCCAUUGUGAGUAGGUUGAGAGGAAAUUGAGCUGCCAAGACAUAUGAAACUCCUGGUGGAGAUUUGGAGGAAGAUGAAUGGUACUUAAGUAACAAGAAGACCGUGAAAUCAAACCAUUAAAAGACAAUUUCAAGACUAGUCACUUCCCUCACCUUCUAUUCACUGUGAUAAAGCCCCCAAAAGUCAUUGGAUGCUUCCUUUGAUGUUGCUUCAGCUGGUGUGUUGACUUUGUUAGCACUCUCUAUUGGGCAUAGAGGUGCUCCUUACAAAUGCUCUCUAGGAGUAAAUGGGCAUGAGGAGGCUCCAUCACCUUCUUCCUAUUUUCUCUGUUGUUUUCCAGCCUUGGGGACAAAGCUGGGAUUCUUAGGGCCGAAGUCAUCAAGGUUGCCUGCAGGUGUGCCUAGAAGAGAUAUGGUUUCAGCAAGCCUUCUUCUCUCUGAUUUCUAAAAGGUUUUUUCAUCUAAUCUGAGGUCCCUGUCACUUUCUACCCUACCUCAUCCCAGAAUUGAGGUCAGAAUGGACUUGUGUGGGAUUUUGGCCCAUGUAGCAGUGUGCCUUUAAAUCUGGUGCUGGCAGUGGUAGCGGUGAUGGUGGGUGUCACCUAGGAUGGCAUAAAUUUCUCCUUCUGUGCCCAAAGCCCACCUUUCCAUUCUUUAGUUUUUAGUUUAAAAUUUAACUCUAAUCAUACAAAUUACAGGAAAGUACAUUCUUCUUGUGAGAAGUUAAAUCAAAACACAACUGAUAAAGUUAAAGACCUCUUUGACCAACAGUUCUUACCCCCUGGCAGCCCCAGAGGUAACACCUACUGCAGGGAAGGUGUGUAUUCCUCCAGUUCUUUUCCUACUCAUUAACAUGCAUGUUACGAAUUGCUAUCGUUAGAGAAAACAUGAAGAAUAUGUGCUUAAAUAUAUCAAAGACAUCCUGUUUUAAACACUGUUCCACAACUUGUUUUUCCAUUUGACUUGGUCAUUCAGGUUGGUAGGACUGGACUCAGAGCCACUGGUCUGGUCGCACAGCCAGGAGGGUAUGAGGAAGGCUGGAACUCUGCCCAUCUCCACUAGAUUAGCCCAGAGGAAGGGAUGCCUUUCUGGAAUUCGUUCACCCAGAGGGGAUCAUCUUAUUUUAAUUCAUAGAAAGAUAUGUACUGUGGUGGCCCUGGAUGGAUCCUCUACACUCUGUUGCAUUGCAUCAUAGUAUUCCAUUUUGUGGGUAUAGUGUAUUUUAUGUAUCCAUUCCCACAACUGGACACUUGAGUUGUUUUUAGUUGCUCAUGAUCACAGACAAAGCUGCAAUGAAUAGCCCUGUACAUGUGUCUGAGUACACAUGUGCAAGCAUUUCUCCUAAGAAGUAGUGGGAUUACUGGUCAUAGGGAUGCACAUAUUAAAUUCUACCAGCGAAAUUGCCCUCUGAGGGUCCUACCAAUGCACAGUCCCACCAGUAGUAUACAACAAUGCUCAUUUCCAUCAUCCUUGCCACCACUUGCUGUCAGACUAGACUUUUUUUCUAAUUGUCUUCUGUCUUAGUGUAUUUGGGCUGCUGUAACAAAAUACCAUGAACCAGGUGACUUACAAACAACAAAAAUCUAUUCUUCACAGUUCUGGAGACUGGGAAGCCCAAGAUCAAGGUGCUGGCAAAUUUGGUGUCUGAUGAGGGCCUGCUUCCUGGUUCAUAGAUGGUGCCUUUUUAUUGUGUUCUCACAUGGUGGAAGGGGCUAGCUAGCUUUCUGAGGCCUCUUUUAUAAAGGCACUGAUCUCAUUCCUGAAGGCUCUGUCCUUGUGAACUAAUCACCUCCCAAAUGCCCCACUUCCUAAUACCAUUACCUUGGUAAUUAGGUUUCAACAUAUAAAUAUUGGAAGGACACAAACAUUCAGACCACAGUAUCUUCCCCCUUCUUAAUGUACCCCUGGUUGACUCUAUUGCUCUGGGGUUGUUCCCAACCUAUUGUUUUAUUUUGUUCCUGGUUUCCUUAUUAUCUUGAUCUCACCCUUGGCUCGCUGGGCACCCAAUCUUCCCGUUCCUUGGUCCACCUGCUCUGACAAAGAUCAUCUGCUCUCAUUUUAGCCUGUAUUCUAGGUGGCAAGUGGGCUGGAGAACAAUACUGCUUCCAACUGGCUGUGUGACCAUGAGCCAGUCACUAGGAUGGGGCCUCAGUUUUUCCACAUGAACCAUAAAGGAACUGGGUUACAGGAACUCCAGGAUCCGAGUUCUCAAGUUCUGACUUGAGUAGGACUAAAAAUUUUUAUUUUAAAGAGACACUUGUCCUCAUGGGCACUAACCACUGUUCUGGUCUGUUUAAAACAUUCACUGUGAGCACAUACAGACAUGAGUCAUUUGAAGAGGUAAUGGGUAGGUAUGACUUUUAUUGCUCCCAUAAAUUAUGUCACCAUUCAUUUCUGUGUUUUCAUGGGUGGGGUUGGGUGACAUCAGAGAAAGGACUUCUCGGUCUGCUCAAGCUCUCAAUCAGCUACCAAACAUUUCUUGAAUAAAUCAGGCCCACUUCCAACUCUGCCUCCUUCCACUUCCUUCUUAUCUUCAGGCCACAUCUUCCUUAUCCAUUCAGGAAAUAUUUAUUGAGCACCUACAACAUCCCCUACUGCAUGGCCACUUUUGGAGAAAGUGAGAGUGGAAGGUGGAUUAAAAAUACAGGGUGGUGGAAAGUGCUUUUACGAGCUGCCAACUCUCAUGGUUUAGUUCAGUGUUGUUUAAUAGAACUGUCUGUGAUGAUGGAAAUGUUCUGUAAAAUCUGUGCUGUCCAAUAUGGACAAACUAUAAGUGGCCAUUGACCAGUUGCUGUGGAAAGUGUGGUUUGGGAUCCCUGAAUAUAAGUAAGCAGUACAGGGCUGGGGGUGCUUUGCAGCAGAUGCCCUAGAAAUCAGUUCUCACAAUCCUCUCUUUGAAGCCUCAGUCUCUUAAUCUGUAGAAAAUUGUUUUGAGGAUCAAAGCACAUAGUGUAUAGGUUUUAGUACAGGGCCUAGCUCAUCAUAGGUGUUCAAUCAAGGAGUACUUCCUUUCCUUCUUGUAAAGACCUGGUUCUCAGGACUCCUGCCUGCUUAGGACAAGUAAAAGCUUCCAUCUCAAGAGGCAGGACUUCAGGAGCAGAGCCUGUGCCUCUGGGAGGGCAGGCUGAAGAGGCCACUUCCUCCCACAAAGGCUUCCAGUGCUUUAGACUCUGAUUCACUCAGAUGGAGUUUCGCUCUUCCUGCCCAGGCUGGACUGCAAUGGCACGAUCUUGGCUCACUGCAAACUCCGCCUCCCAGGUUCAAGUGAUUCUCCUGCCUCAGCCUCCUGAGUAGCUGGGAUUACAGCCGUGCACCACCACGCCUGGC